GCCGCUGGACGCGCCGCUGGACGCCCCCCCCAGUGCAGGGAACCACGUCUGCGAGGAUGGGUGGGCCUCGGCCCCCGGCGGCUGCAGUGGGAACCAGGAGCUGCUCUCCAGGCUGCAGGUGAGCCGGGCUCCCGCAUGCUCUCGGCGCUCGGCCUUUAGACGUCUGUUAGCGACAAGGGCCCUCGGGUAGCCUAGUGAGAGGCCGGGGCGUCCAGGGCCAGCCCAGAGCCACGUGCUCCAUGCUUGCCCGGGGACGGAGCAGGGAGCACGGUGUGCCGCGGGGCGUGACAGCUGGCCUGCCCGGCUGGCGGCUCCAAGCCCUGUGGACGUCACACUUCCCGGUAUGCACAUCGAUUAGCCACGGGCAGCUGCGCCUGGCACACUGCAGCCGUAGGCGGCCUGGGCCCGGGGCUCUCGAGGCAUCGCUGCCCGCCUCCCCACCCCCCGCAGCCGUCCGGCGCACACGCUUUGCCCACCAGGGCUCUCAGAACCACCACUAAGCCACAAAGUCCCUCACUUUGCAAUAACGUCCAAAUCAGAAGGCCUCCGUGGAGCCCCCUUGGGAGCCGCCAGGCCCCCAGUGAGCAAGGCUGCAGCCCUAAGGCCUUGGCUUCCAGGAGAUGGCUGCAGACCUGGCCCCGGGCCGCACUCCCUCUGGGGGGCACUUCCUCCUCCCAGCGCUCCGCAGAAGGCUCCAGGCCACAGAGCCUCCCCCGGGCCGGUGGGAGGCGGCCGCCCACCUGGGGAGACAGCAGGAGCUGCUUACCUACAAGAGGAUCCUGCUGGCCCUGCCCCC